rnacentral:rRNA from 1 species
AUUGAACGCUGGCGGCAUGCCUUACACAUGCAAGUCGAACGGCAGCACGGGUGCUUGCUCCUGGUGGCGAGUGGCGAACGGGUGAGUAAUACAUCGGAACAUGUCCUGUAGUGGGGGAUAGCCCGGCGAAAGCCGGAUUAAUACCGCAUACGAUCUACGGAUGAAAGCGGGGGACCUUCGGGCCUCGCGCGAUAGGGUUGGCCGAUGGCUGAUUAGCUAGUUGGUGGGGUAAAGGCCUACCAAGGCGACGAUCAGUAGCUGGUCUGAGAGGACGACCAGCCACACUGGGACUGAGACACGGCCCAGACUCCUACGGGAGGCAGCAGUGGGGAAUUUUGGACAAUGGGCGAAAGCCUGAUCCAGCAAUGCCGCGUGUGUGAAGAAGGCCUUCGGGUUGUAAAGCACUUUUGUCCGGAAAGAAAUCCUUGGCUCUAAUACAGUCGGGGGAUGACGGUACCGGAAGAAUAAGCACCGGCUAACUACGUG